UUCAUAUGUGAUCCCUAACAUUCUCCCCUUACUUUCCCCUUCCAUCGACCAAUCAGGUUGUUGGAAUUUUUCUUCUCUCUCUUUUCCAUUUGAUGUUCUCACUUUAUCGGUUUAAAGAGGGAAAAUGUAAGCAUUACAAUCAGUUGCAAGAAAAGUGGUUAACAUGAACGUUGAUUGUGUCGAGAAACUAAAUCGUUUCCAUUUUAAUUGUGUUAAUAAUUGUUACCAUUGAGAUUAACUGAUUAACGACAGUUGAUUGUAAACUUUCACCGAUCUAAGAUCUUUGACACCUGUUGCCAACCACCGAGUUACAUUCAACCUGCGAAAGUGUUGAAAAUGACACAAUAAAAUGGCCAAUCAAUAUGUUGAUCAACAUUUUCUCGGUGAAUUUAAAACAAUU